UACGUAGGGUGCAAGCGUUGUCCGGAAUCAUUGGGCGUAAAGCGCGCGUAGGCGGCCCGAUAAGUCCGCUGUUAAAGUCAACGGCUCAACUGUUGAAAGCCGGUGGAUACUGUCGGGCUAGAGUACGGAAGAGGCAAGUGGAAUUCCUGGUGUAGCGGUGGAAUGCGCAGAUAUCAGGAGGAACACCUAUAGCGAAGGCAGCUUGCUGGGACGUUACUGACGCUAAGGCGCGAAAGCGUGGGGAGCGAACAGG
rnacentral:rRNA from 1 species